rnacentral:rRNA from 1 species
CCCUGGCUCAGGACGAACGCUGGCGGCAUGCCUAAUACAUGCAAGUCGAGCGGACUUGAAGAGAAGCUUGCUUCUUUGAUGGUUAGCGGCGGACGGGUGAGUAACACGUAGGCAACCUGCCCUCAAGUUUGGGACAACUACCGGAAACGGUAGCUAAUACCGAAUAGUUGUUUUCUUCUCCUGAAGAGAACUGGAAAGACGGAGCAAUCUGUCACUUGGGGAUGGGCCUGCGGCGCAUUAGCUAGUUGGUGAGGUAACGGCUCACCAAGGCGACGAUGCGUAGCCGACCUGAGAGGGUGAUCGGCCACACUGGGACUGAGACACGGCCCAGACUCCUACGGGAGGCAGCAGUAGGGAAUCUUCCGCAAUGGGCGAAAGCCUGACGGAGCAAUGCCGCGUGAGUGAUGAAGGUUUUCGGAUCGUAAAGCUCUGUUGCCAGGGAAGAACGCUUGGGAGAGUAACUGCUCUCAAGGUGACGGUACCUGAGAAGAAAGCCCCGGCUAACU